AAAAGGGAUUUGGUUUAGUGAGUUGGGUUUAACUAAAUGGUUAACCAAGAGGAUUGGGUAAAGGUAAGGGCGCGUUUGGUUCAAAUUAUAUAAUAUUACAGAAUAUUUCGAUAUAUCCGGUAUCUUGGAUUUCUAAAUGAGAUUACUACUGAUGCUGCAUUAGCGCAUUUGGUUUAAUACAGUAAUAUAAUGCUGGAUUGCAGUGUUUAUAGGAUUACUAUGUUUGGUUCUAUCUAUAAAAUUUAGUAAUCUAGACAAUAAAGUAUAUUCUCUUCCAAAAUUACGCUUAGCCAUAUUUUGCAAACUUUUUUUUUUUACUGUUUACAAAUAAUACUUUUUUACAAAAUUUUAUUUUAAAUAAUUUAUUUUUUAAAAUUUAAAUUUUAAAUUUUAAAUUUUAACAAAAAUACAAAUUUAUAUGUUAAUUUAAAAUACAAAUAUGAAAUUUAUAAAUUUAAAAUCUAAAAUAUAAAUAUAAAUAUAAAAUUAAAAUUAAAAUUAAAAAUCUAAAUUUAUAAUUCAUAAUUUAAAAUACAAAUUUUUAUUUUAAAANAAAUUUACAUAUUUAUAAAUUUAAAAUUUAAAAUUUAAGUUUAAAUUUAAAUUUUGAAAAUUGAAAAAUAAAAAUUACAAAUAAAAUUAAAAUUUGAAAUUUGAAAUUUGAAAUUUGAAAUUUGAAAUUUGAAAUUUGAAAUUUAAAAUUUGAAAUUUAAAUUAAAACUUAAAAUUUAAAAUUUAAAUUUGAAGUUUAAAAAUUAAAAAUUAAAAUUCAAAAUUUUAAAUUUAAAAGUUGACAAUUCAAAAUUUUAAGUUAAAUUUUUUAAAAUGAUGUAUUGAAAGGAUUUCGGGAGUUAGAGGGAUAAAAUUGUCAUUUCACAUAAUAUGCAGUAUUACUAGCUUUCAGUAAUCCAAGAUACACCCCCCCAUCUCGUUAAUAUUUUUGGUGUAAUCCUGCAUCAUUAGUAAUGCUAUAUUACCGACCCGAUUACAUACCGAAUGAACCAAACAUAGUAAUCCUGACAGGAUUACCUGUAAUCUUGCCAAGAUAACCCGAACCAAACGCACCCUAAAGGUAAAAGAGAAAU
rnacentral:lncRNA from 1 species